rnacentral:rRNA from 1 species
AACGAACGCUGGCGGCAGGCCUAACACAUGCAAGUCGAACGCCCUAGCAAUAGGGAGUGGCAGACGGGUGAGUAACACGUGGGAACCUUCCCUAUAGUACGGAAUAGCCCAGGCAAACUUGGAGUAAUACCGUAUACGCCAGAGAGGGGAAAGCUUUAUCGCUAUAGGAUGGGCCCGCGUCGGAUUAGCUAGUUGGAGAGAGAACGGCUCACCAAGGCGACGAUCCGGAGCUGGUUUGAGAGAAUGACCCGCCAAAAUGGGACUGAGACACGGCCCAGACUCCUACGGGAGGCAGCAGUGGGGAAUCUUGGACAAUGGGCGCAAGCCUGAUCCAGCCAUGCCGCGUGAGUGAUGAAGGCCCUAGGGUUGUAAAGCUCUUCUGUCGGGGACGACAAUGACGGUACCCGAAGAAUAAGCUCCGGCUAACUUCGUGCCAGCCGCCGCCGUAA